AACGAACGCUGGCGGCAUGCCUAACACAUGCCAGUCGAACGAGACCUUCGGGUCUAGUGGCGCACGGGUGCGUAACGCGUGGGAACCUGCCCUUAGGCUCGGAAUAACUCCCCGAAAGGGGUGCUAAUACCGGAUAAUGUCUUCGGACCAAAGAUUUAUCGCCUUUGGAUGGGCCCGCGUUGGAUUAGCUAGUUGGUAGGGUAAAAGCCUACCAAGGCGACGAUCCAUAGCUGGUCUGAGAGGAUGAUCAGCCACACUGGGACUGAGACACGGCCCAGACUCCUACGGGAGGCAGCAGUGGGGAAUAUUGGACAAUGGGCGAAAGCCUGAUCCAGCAAUGCCGCGUGAGUGAUGAAGGCCUUAGGGUUGUAAAGCUCUUUUACCCGGGAUGAUAAUGACAGUACCGGGAGAAUAAGCGCCGGCUAACUCCGUG
rnacentral:rRNA from 1 species